CAGCAGCCGCGGGAACACGAAGGGUGCAAGCGUUAAUCGGAAUUACUGGGCGUAAAGGGUGCGUAGGCGGUUGUUUAAGUCUGUUGUGAAAUCCCCGGGCUCAACCUGGGAACUGCAUUUGAGACUGUAUGGCUAGAGUGUGUCAGAGGGGGGUAGAAUUCCACGUGUAGCAGUGAAAUGCGUAGAUAUGUGGAGGAAUACCGAUGGCGAAGGCAGCCCCCUGGGAUAACACUGACGCUCAUGCACGAAAGCGUGGGGAGCAAACAGGAUUAGAUACCCCAGUAGUCCCUGUCUCUUAUAC
rnacentral:rRNA from 1 species